GGCCCCCCUGGGGAGGGGGGAGAUCGGGGGGGCCCCCUACAGCCUGUGGGUGCUGCAGGAGGGCUACAGCCGCCCCCACCCCGACGGCACCCUCCGGGCCGAUGCCACCGUCACCUUGGUGGCCGGGGGGGGCCCCAUCACCGCCCUGGUGGACACGGGGGGGCCCUGGGGGAGGCGAGACCUCCUGGAGAAGCUGGCAGCCCGGGGGGUGGCCCCUGAGGACGUCACCCACCUGGUGUGCACCCACGGCCACUCCGACCACGUGGGCAACCUCAACCUCUUCCCGCUGGCCACCCUGGUGCUGGGCUACGACGUGUGUCACGGGGCCGGCUGCUACGUCCCCAACGAGUUGGCCAAGGGGCAACCUUACGUCCUGGACCCCGGUCACCUGGAGGUGGUGGCCACCCCGGGUCACACCAGGAGCCACGUCAGCCUGGUGGUCCAGGCCACCUCCCUGGGGACGGUGGUGGUGGCCGGGGACUUGUUCGAGAGGGAGGGGGACGAGGGGGAGUGGGAGGCGCUGAGCGAGGACCCCCAGGAGCAGGAGAGGAGCCGGCGGCGAGUGGUGGCCAUGGCCGACGUCAUCGUGCCGGGGCACGGGCCACCUUUCCGCGUCAUCAAGGAGUGGGGAGAGGAGGAGGAGGAGGAAGAAGGAGCCGCCACCCGAGGUGGCCACGAGGGACAUGGGGAUAAGCCCAAGGGUGAUGAAAGCCCUGGAGAUGCCACCAAGCCAUGAGAGAGCCCUUGGGGACAUCAAGAGACUCCUUGGGGACACAAAGAAAAGCCUUGGGGACAUCGAGAGGGUCUCGGGGACAUCAAGAAACUGCUUGGGGACAUCAAGAGAUCCUUUGGGGACACAAAGAAAAGCCUUGAGGACAUCAAGAGGGACCUGGGACAACCCCAAUGGGGAUGGAACCCUUGGACAUGCUACCAAACCAUCAGAAACCCCUUGGGGACAUCAGGAGAGCCCUUGAGACCACCCCUUUGGGGGACAAGAAGACCCUAGAGAUGUCCCCAAGGCAUGAGAGACCCCUUGGGGACAUCAAGAGGAACCUGGGGACAACCCUAAUGGAGGUGGAACCCCUGGAGAUGCCACCAAGGAGCAGGAGGAUGGGGCUGGAGAUGUCCCCAAGUCAUGAGAGACCCCUUGGGGACAUCAAGAGACCUCUUGGGGACAUCAGGAGGGAUUUGGGGACAUCAAGAGGGACGUGGGGACACCCCAAGGGGAGGUGGAACCCCUGGAGAUGCCACCAAACCACGAGAGAUCCCUUGGGGACAUCGAGAGACCCUUUGGGGACAUCAAGAGGGACUUGGGGACACCAAGAAACCCCUUGGAGACAUCGGGAGGGACCUGGGGACACCCCCAAUAGGGAUGGAACCCUUGGAGAUGCCAUUAAACCAUCAGAGAGCCCCUGGGGGCAACAAGAGAGCCCUUGGGGCCACUCCCUUGGGGGACAAGCAGACCUUAGAGAUGUCCCCAAGGCAGAAGGACCUUUGGGGACGUCCCCAGGGAACGGGGGAGGGAUGUGGGGACGAGGAGCCAACAGGAGCUCGGGGACUGGGGGUGGAGGUGGCCGACGUCACUUUGCCACCUCCGUGUCCCCCAGGACGUUGUCCUGGGGCCAGAGCUUGGUGGCACCUGCGGGUUGGUGGUACCUCACGGAGGUGGCACCACCCUGUAAGAACCACCAGUCCCAUCCCAGUUCCUCCCAGUCCCUCCCAGUGGGACACAAGGGCCACCCCCAGGACCGGGGUGGUAUAAAAAGGGGGGGGUUCAAAGUGGGGGGUGACACCGAGGAGGUCUCCAGCCAUGGCUCGGUCCCCGCAGCCCUUGGUGUCCCCGGUGGUGGCCCUGGUGGCCUUACUGGUGGUCCCAGUUUGGGGGUGGGACAAAAGCGUCACCGUCACCACCCUCUCCGUGGACAAUGGGGGGCCCUGGGGGGACUGGGGGGACGUCGAGUUUUGUCCCAAAGGCUCCUACGCCACCGGCUUCCAGCUGAAGGUGGAGCCCCACAGGGGGUUCUUCUGGGACGACACCGGGCUCAACGGGGUGAGGCUGCUCUGCGCCGGGGGGGGGGCCGUCACCUCCAGCGAGGGGC
rnacentral:lncRNA from 1 species